AAGCCAACAACAACUUCAGUGCAUGGCAUAUGAAGAUCAAGCUAUUCAGCCCUCUUGCAUCUGCUUCAGACAUUUCCUCUCUAUAACAAUGCAAACACUACAAUUCUCAAAAGCUUCACACACUCUUUAUCAAGACAGUGUGAAGCAAAAUCAAUUUAUGGUGCUAACAAGAGCUUCAUCAAUAGAGGGCAACCACAAUUCUCAAAAACUUCACACACUCUUGAUCAAGACAGUGUGAAUGAAAACCAAUUUAUGGUGCCAACAAGAGCUUCAUCAAUGGAAGGCAACCACAAUUCUCAAAAGCUUCACACACUCUUGAUCAAGACAGUGUGAAGCAAAACUAAUUUAUGGUGCCAACAAAAGCUUCAUCAAUGGAGGGCAACCACAAUUCUCAAAAGCUUCACACACUCUUGAUCAAGACAGUGUGAAGCAAAACCAAUUUAUGGUGCCAACAAGAGCUUCAUCAAAGAAGUUCAACCAUAAUUUUCAAAAGCUUCACACACUCUUGAUCAAGACAGUGUGAAGCAAAACCAAUUUAUGGUGCCAACAAGAGCUUCAUCAAUGGAGUUCAACCACAAUUCUCAAAAGCUUCACACACUCUUGAUCAAGACAGUGUGAAGCAAAACCAAUUUAUGGUGCCAACAAGAGCUUCAUCAAAGAAGUUCAACCAUAAUUUUCAAAAGCUUCACACACUCUUGAUCAAGACAGUGUGAAGCAAAACCAAUUUAUGGUGCCAACAAGAGCUUCAUCAAUAGAGUUCAACCACAAUUCUCAAAAGCUUCACACACUCUUGAUCAAGACAGUGUGAAGCAAAACCAAUUUAUGGUGCCAACAAGAGCUUCAUCAAUGGAGGGCAACCACAAUUCUCAAAAGCUUCACACACUCUUGAUCAAGACAGUGUGAAGCAAAACCAAUUUAUGGUGCCACCAAAAGCUUCCUUAAAGGAGUUCAAGCAUAAUUCUCAAAAGCUUCACACACUCUUGAUCAAGACAGUGUGAAGCAAAACCAAUUUAUGGUGCCAACAAAAGCUUCAUCAAUGGAGGGCAACUACAAUUCUCAAACCUUUAAAGCAAAUUCAAGACUGUUUGAAGCAAAUUCAAUUUAUAUGGUUCAUCCAAACCUUUGACUACUACAAGGUGUGGCUUGCAUCACAAUCUCUUACUCAACAGUGUGGAAGCAAAAUUUGUAUAUGUUGUCUCUCCAACAUUUUCAAAUUUCUAGUUUCCCAAAAAAAAAAGAAAAAAAAAAGGAAAUUCAACAAAGCUUCAUCAAUGGAGGACAACUACAAAUUCUCAAAAGCUUCACAUUAUCUUGAUCAAGAUAUUGUGAAGCAAAAUCAAUUCGUGGUACCCAACAAAGCUUCAA
rnacentral:lncRNA from 1 species